GUACUCUCACACUCUCUGAUCUUAGGAUUGGGAGCGGUGGAUUUGGGUGUUGCUGCUUCACUGUGGCUCACCUAAAAUGCAUUAGUGCAACUCUUGACUGUACCAUAGUAUGGCAUGAUAAGUAUCUUUGCCAGCACCUCUCAGCAGGAUGGUCAAUCGAGAGCUCUGUGCCUCUAACUGUCCUAGGACAAUCUUUGACA
rnacentral:misc_RNA from 1 species